GGUUCCAUAGUGUAGUGGUUAGCGCAUCUGCUUUACACGCAGAAGGUCCUGGGUUCAUGCCCCAGUGGAGCCA
rnacentral:tRNA from 1 species